GGGAGCUGAUCCCCAACAUAGUUCCGCUGCACAGUUUUUAUUCCAUCAGUGUGAAGUUAGUCAGGUCCUGACCACUCUCAUCCUCGAGCAUAUCAUCACACAGUUGCCCCUGCAACUGCUUCAGUAAAGCAGACUAAGAUCUACAUGGAGCCUCAUCCUGUCUUCAGAUACUCCCCUUUGCAGUUUGUACAGAUUAAACCAUGUCUUGUAAUUCUGGAGAAGAUGAAACUCCCACUGAACUUGUAAUGGACAGCCCUGAAGACACAUGCAGUAACCACUGAGUCUCAUCCAAGAGAGCAGGAUCAAUUCUCAGUAAUUUAAAGUUCUCUUAAAUAGUCAGCCCAGACAGGAAGGAUUCCAGUUUAAUUAACUACAGGCUUAAACCUACAAAGGGGCAUUCUGCAUCUCUUGAGACCACUGCACACCUUUUGCAAAGGAAAGCUGGAGGCAUCUUCUGAGAAUAAACAUCAAGACCACAGCUGCUCUGUUUCAAACUUGCCCCCACAGUGCCCAGAUCUCUGCAGAGUGCAGCACCCACCAUUUUUGCUAUGACAGUCAGAAAGUUCUUGAUUCCUUAACAUGGGAACAUCAGCAUGUUGUUACUCCCAGACAUUUCUUUCUUCACUUUUCAAUGUUUUCUCUGUGCUAUCUGUCAUCACCUUGUUUUCUCAUUUUCCUUUUAAUUAAAGAUUAUUAUUCAAAGGAGGAAAUGUAGCACAAUUUGAGAAUUCAUUCAGCAUGUAUAGAGAUGCAUGUGGUCUACUGACUUAUACAAAGGAU
ensembl:lncRNA